CUGGAGGUAUCAGAAGUGCGAAUGCUGACAUAAGUAACGAUAAAGCGGGUGAAAAGCCCGCUCGCCGGAAGACCAAGGGUUCCUGUUCAACGUUAAUCGGAGCAGGGUGAGUCGACCCCUAAGGCGAGGCCGAAAGGCGUAGUCGAUGGGAAACAGGUUAAUAUUCCUGUACUUGGUGUUACUGCGAAGGGGGGACGGAGAAGGCUAUAUCAGCCGGGCGACGGUUGUCCCGGUUUAAGCGUGUAGGUGUGUGUUCCAGGCAAAUCCGGUUCACUUUACACUGAGGCGUGACGACGAGGCACUACGGUGCUGAAGUGAUAAAUGCCCUGCUUCCAGGAAAAGCCUCUAAGCAUCAGGUAACACAAAAUCGUACCCCAAACCGA
rnacentral:rRNA from 1 species